CGGCGGCCUGGGGAGUGCGGUCCCCGGGUUCAGGCUGGAGGCGCUGGGUGAAAUGCGUUCUGCUCCGGAGCUACGAUUCUCGAAGCGGUCGGGGGGCGUUCUUAGUUGGAAAAGCGACGUCUCCCAGAUGAGCUCGGAUGGAUAGCGGUUCUGGGUCGCCCUCUUUGGCCGUGGGCUUGUGGCAAACUCAUUUGCUGCACCCUUUCUCCUCACGCUUAAAGAAGGGGCGUUCCUUUUUUCUUUCUUUCUUCUUCUUUUUUUUUUUUUUUUUUUUUUUUUUUUUUAAAUCGGGACUUUUUUGACCAGCGAGCCUGAAAUGGAGAUGCGGUGCAUCUCACAGUUUGUGUCACUUCCAGGAGGCGAUGAAAGGCAGCGCUUUGUCGCUGCUGUGCAGCGAUACAGGCGGUGAGGUGCUGCUCUCACACAGUCGGCGCUGAGGAACGGCCACCUGAGCGCUGCCCUGUCCGAGUGCACAGGCAGAACUGGAGCUCUGUGACUUCGUGUCUCUCUCAGUAAUAAUCGCUUCUCCUUGUGCAGUCUGAGUCACGGUGUGAAGUCCUCCUGAAACCCACAGCGUCCCCCCUCCACCUGGGCACAAAGCUCCCUGUCUGUAGGUGCGUUUUCCUACAGCCCCUCACGCCCAGCUGAUGGCUGCCCCCCUCUCCUUCCCACAGCGCUGCUCCUAAUGCUUGGCCCGCUCCCUCUUAAAGGUAGGCUGGAAGAUUUCCCUCUGGCUUUUAUUUGGGUUUCUUCAAGCAACCAGAAAAGGGGGAAGGAAAACAAAACCAAAGCAUUUGGGGAAAAGAAACCGACACAACCACACAAAAACACGCCCCAGUGCCCACCACUGUGAAGAGAACUGACUGACCGCAGGCCUCCAGGAGCCUCAAGUAUGCGCUGCUAGUUCCCGGCCAACCAUUUGCUUUGAUGGUGCUGUGAGUGAGCAGAUUGACUUGACCCCUGUUUUGUUUGUGCCUGACAGUUGUUUCCAGGAUGAAGCCUCUGCCUGCUGAAAUGCUGCUGCCUCAUGAGAACUGCAGAAAACUCGGCUCCAUUUGCUCUUCCUACCGAGGGUGUCCUGAUGGGACUCUGGGAGAAUAAAAGGACACAUCAGAGGAAAAGCUAGAUCUGCAGUAGCUCUCUUCAAGAGCCCUGCUCAUUGGUUGGUUGGUUGAUUUUCAGAGCUGCAAAGGAUGUUGCUGUAAAACACAUGCAUUAAGGUAAGUGUAAUUGGUCUGGCUGGAGGUGUUGCGCAAGGACAGCAGAGCAGGAUGGUGAGGCAAGGGGCAGGAGCUGCGUGUGGGAAGACAUGCUGUUGCUGCUGCUGCACUGAAGAAGAAUCUGCUAUAAGGAGACAUGCUGGUAUCACCCUGCUUGUACCAUAACUCGCCAUGCUGCUGGAGGGUCUGGCCACAGGACUUGUCCCAGGUAGUUUACCUUCUACCAAGUGAGAGCACAAAAAUUAGUAUAUUCAUUCUUGGUUUUGGUUCACAAGAUAAUCUACUAAGAGUACAAGCAGGCUGUUUUAAGGGCUCUGUGACUGGGAACGAGGAUGAUGCUUGCCUUUCUCCCCACAUAAAAUCCCAUCACUGUGAUUUAGUGGUGUGGUAAAUGCACUGUGACCGCACAGAUUUUGGCGUUGGUGUGCAUGAACACUGAAGUCACGAGGAUUCCAUGCUGCCAACAUUUGGACAGCCCAACUGUGGGCCAUGUUCUAGCCCCAUUGCUGCAUAUGUGUGCCACUCAUGCAGGACCUCUUGCUGUGUGCAGGUUUUCUGGCUUUUCCAGCAACUGCAUCUCCUGGGCUGGCUCAUACCCCGACAGAGCCACCUCCCAAAUGCAGCAGUUUGUGAUGAAGGCUGCCCUGGGAUUCUGCUUUCAUUUUCCCAGGAGAGAUGGGGAAAUACAUCCUGUCCAAGACAUAUGUGAACAGCUACUUCUGCUGGAAUGCUUUCAACUUCUUUAAAAAAGACGCAUUAGGUCCUCAUGCACUGUCCUGAGCUGUAGCAACACGCCCAACCUAGAGGUCUAGGUAAAACAGGCAAAAGACCAUCAGGGUGGAAAAAAGGAUGUAGUUUCCAAAGCCCUGACAACAAUUUCUUUUUUCCUGAAGUAAAAAGUCUCCAGCAAAAGAGUAGCUGGAAAGAAAGAAAUUCAUUCUUUUUCUCCUUAUGCAACAUUUUAAUAUUUUUCCAUGUGUUUCUGAUUAUCUCAAGGAGAUGUAUAGUUUUACCACACUCCAGAGAAAGAAAACCCUUGGUGAGCUAGAAAUCAGCGAGGUCUCAAGGAUUUUAAUAAUACUCAGGGAUGUGUGUGAAGGCCAGUGAGUGAAGGCCAGCGAUGCUGAAGGGAAGGUGAAGCUAACGCAGAGCGAGACAUGUACAGGUGACAGAACUGCCAUUUCCUGAGAGCAGGACUGCGCUCCAGGUUCUGUUAAAAGGCAGGAUUAAUCCAGUGUUUGGCUCCAGUGUGGCUCCUGCCCUGGCUCAGCCACACAUGUAGAAUCCCUUCACUGCUGGCACAGCGCUUUAAGUAGGAGAGAUUUUUGCUGACUCUAACUGUUUUGCUUUGGGCAAAGUACAGGAUCUGCUCAGGCACUCAUCCUUCUCCCCAGAUCUCCCCAACUCAAGAAGGAGUCACAGAAUUCAUCAGGAGAGCAUCACCGAGCAGCCAGCCCUCACACAACACAAAGGACACAGAUUGUAGCAACAUGCAAGCGCUCUCUUUCCCCUUCACAUGUUGUCCUCAGUCCCAUAGGAGACAGAUCAGGUCCACAGAGCUGCAUAUCAGGGUGUCCUGGGUGAUGUGCUGCACCAACAAUAGGAGCUAAGUACCUAAGUGCUUGAUUUAGAGAGGCAGUUUGGACACAACGCUGAUUUUUCCAAGUGUUUUUGGGCCAAAUCUGAAGAAAGCCCAUUAACUUCAUUGGCUUUGGAUGAUGUCCCAUAUACACAAAACUUGAAGAAUGAUGCUUUAAAAGAAAUACCAGAGUUAAAUCGGGACAUUUUAACAAUUCUCUUUGUAUUUGAAUUUAGUGGCUGUAUGCUGACAAUGUAAUUAGCAAGAUGCUAUGUUAAUUAAUGCCAGAUGACAUUGGUGGGAUGGCAAAACAUCCAGUUUUCUGAAGAAUAGCUCACAGUUGAACUGUUCCUCUCUCCCCACCCCAUUUUUAGCAGAGGAACAUACUCAGAAAGUCAGAGACAGCUGAAUUAAACCAAAAGUCAAACCAUUUACAAAUAUUUAAAAUGUGGCCUAUCUCAGCACAUCGCUUGCAAGCCAAAUCUAAUCUUAUUGCAGAAAAAUAUAUUAACCUUCUCUCCUUAGACCCCGCAUACAGAAAAGGAGAAUUUGAAGAGCAUUGCGCAGUGGACAAAUCAGCUGUCACUGAAGCUGAAGGAGCAGAAUUGAGACCUGUCCUUCACAUAGCAGAGCAUUUGAACGGUAAUUUUCAGUUUAAGGAUUGUGGAUUUCUUGGGAUCAACCAGCUAAUUAGAAAAGAAUUUGCAGUAACAUGGAAAAAUACAUUUGCAUACAAUCUGAGUUCCUACAUGUUAAGCUUCAAUCUAUACGUGUAAAAAUUGUAAAUAAAUUUGAUAAGGCACAGAAAUUAACAUCACGUGAGAACUAUAGCGUGUAUCAUUUUAAUUCAUAUAUUUUCAAUUGCACGCAUAGAGAUAUUUAUCUAUGGAUAUGGAAACUUCUGUAUUUAAGUUCGUGGUCUUUUACUGUAUACCUCUUGGAAAUCCUGUCUUGAGUAGAAUUAGCGACUAUGAUUGCAUUCUACUGUGUCGAUGAGAAGAAUUUGUGCUGCUCUAGACGGGACUUCAAAUCUAGUGGUCUUACUAGCAGUAGGGCGGUAUAAUGAAGUUGGCAGGAUUUCCUUAGCAGUCUUUA
ensembl:lncRNA